rnacentral:rRNA from 1 species
UACGUAGGGUGCAAGCGUUGUCCGGAAUUAUUGGGCGUAAAGAGCUCGUAGGCGGUUUGUCGCGUCUGCUGUGAAAACUCGGGGCUUAACCCUAGGCCGUGCAGUGGGUACGGGCAGACUAGAGUGCGGUAGGGGAGACUGGAAUUCCUGGUGUAGCGGUGAAAUGCGCAGAUAUCAGGAGGAACACCGGUGGCGAAGGCGGUUCUCUGGGCAUUACCUGACGCUGAGGAGCGAAAGUGUGGGGAGCGAACAGG